AUUGUUUUGACAGAUUCAUCUCAUUUGGAUAUUGACUCAGCUUCUUCUUAAUUGAGACAAUUGAUUUUAAGUGACUUUAAAGCUUUUGUUUCAGGCGAUUUAGUACAGCUUUAAGCAGUUUUAAACUGAAUUGUUGAGACUUGGAGCUUUUGCAUUCUCCAUUGAUGUCAUUGACCCAACUGAAGGCAUUCUUCUAACUGUGGAGAAUUUGAAUAGAGUCUGGUGAAAGGUUUGAAUAGAAUCUGUUUGGACAAGAGUUUGGACAGCCGGUUUGAAUAGAAUCUGGCCAACAGGUUCUAAGGGCAGUUUGUGGUUUCUGCUACUCUUUGAAACUGCUCACAUUCCAUUUUUGAACUUUAUUCAGCCACUGUCUUGGUUGCUUGAUUUUGCAUUCAUUCAAGCACUUGGUAGCUUAAAACAGCAUCUGUUUGUUUCAGUUAUCAAACAAACUGCUGUCAAACAGAAAUUGGUUUAUUUGUGUUCUGAAUCACCUCGACAUCUUCUAUCAGUUGCAGACUUAAACAGAAGGCUAGGACACACAGGCUGUGGCAAAGUUUCUCAAUCUGAUUUACCAGGCUAGUGGAAACCUUAAGCAACAGCAACAAAGCACAAACACCUCCCAUGCUUGAUCAUGAAAGCCACAUUUCAGAAAGUGGUUGGUUUCUAAACUAAAAUCUGCCAUCACAGUUGUAAUUGUGACAGCCUUGGUGAAUGCAUUAGUAGACAGUGGACAAUAAUCUCUAGUUGUGACAGCCUUGGUGAAUGCAGUCUUGGUGAUUGGUUGGAUGAUUUAAUCACAGUGUGUGGUUACUGUUAGUUUUGAGCUGUUUAAGAGCGAUUUAGUGUGUAGUCUUGACUGUUUUAAAACAGACUUGAAGCUGCUUAUUGAACUAGUGCAGUUUUGAAGCUGUUGUUUUGAUUCAUUGGUCAAGGCACAAGAUAAUUGGGAUUCAUAUGAUUCUCAUGUUCUUGUGAGGUUGAAUAAUUGUGAUUGACAGUGUGGCUGGAAAGUAUCAGCUAAGGAGAGGUUUAUACAAAAAAUUGGAGGCAUGGCUCAGAAAUCACUAGCAUCUGUUGAUCAAACGAGCAGUGCUGGUAACAAGCAAACGAGGGUGAAGAGCAUACAGAGUGGAAAGCAGAGGUUCAUUUUGUUGCAAGUUUAUAAAGGACGGGUUGAUUGGAUUGUGAAGUUGCAAUUUUCAAGUGGACUUUUGGAUAGAAGUUGCAACUCGAGAGCAGAUAGAACAAUUUAAUUUUUUUUUAAAGUUUCACAUUUGUAUAGUGAAAAGUUGCUACGGUUGUUGGCUAUUUGAUUUGGGCUAGAAUCAGUUUUUGGUCUUGAA